UUGCUCAGGAGCCUGGAGCAGCGUUUGCUUCCCGGGGGAGGGUUGCACCAGGCCGGUCCCAGGCUGCGCUGGGGCAUUUCUCACCGGGGUCUGGGCUGCGAGGUGCUGGGAGCAGAGCUCUGGGUUUGCGCUUGUCCCCUGUAGCGCCUGACACACUUCGGGUCAGUGUAAGAACCUCACAAUAACCCGCCCUGCUCCCGGGGCGCCCUGAGACCCUCAGACCGGAGUCUCCGCCCCUCUCCAGGCAGGGUGUGGUGUGGGAAGGGGGGUGACUUCGUUUCCCUUCUAAACCAGGCAGCCGCGUGUCGGAGGCUGCAACAGGCAGAAGCGGCCGCGGCUUGUGUUUGUGCAGUUAAGGGCUAAACCCUCCUUAUCCUGACAGCGAGAAUUUACCCUGCAGCUCAGCGAGCAAUGCCAGUGUGGGUACAGUUUGUGUUCGUUUUAGCAGCUUGGACAGGUGCGCAGUCCCAGAUGCAGCUGGUGGAGUCCGGGGGGGCUGUUAGAAAUGAAGGGGAGUCCAUCCGCCUCUCCUGUAAAGGCUCCGGCUUCACCUUCAGCAGCUCCGACAUGUUCUGGUACCGGCAGAGUCCCGGGAAGAGCCCGGAGUUUGUCUCACGUAUUUACUACGAUGGGUCUAGUCCUUAUUACGCGGCUGGGGUUCAAGGACGAUCCACCAUCUCCAGAGACAACGCCAAGAGCGAGCUGUACCUGGAAAUGAGCCGCCUGAGAGGGGAGGACACCGCCCGGUAUCACUGCGCUGCUAGAGAGGCACAGUGCGGGGAAGCCGGUGUGAGCCGAGAGGAAAACCUCCGGCCCCAGGCCCAGGGGGAAAGACAUCUGCUGGGGGGCGGAGAGACCUGGUGCGCUCCCUGCAGGGAGGGAAGGGAAAGCGAGGCACAGCAGAUCUGGAGCGAACCACCCUAUGAGCACAGACUCUGAUAAGGUACAAAGGCAUCCAGCCAGGUUUAUUGUCAAACAAAACACAGUCUCUAGCUUCCUGGAUCAGCUGCCUACAGUUCUGCUAGUACAGAUGUGCUCCCUGACACUGGCCUGGCUCAGUCAGCGGUUGGGUUUGCCACUGCCCCCAGGCCAGACAAAGGCGCCAUCCCAGGGAUGCGUUCUUACACAGGUACAAUCCGGUUACGCAGCAUUGACUCAGGGCCGCCCAGAGGAUUCAGGGGGCCUGGGGCAAAGCAACCUCAGGGACCCCUUCCAUUAGAAAAGGUUGCAAUACUAUAGAACACUGUAUUCUUGUGGGGGGCCCUGUGGGCCGGGGGCCUGUGGCAAAUUUUCCCACUUGCCUGCCCUGGGCAGCCCUGCAUUGAAUGCAUUGAGGUGCAGCCCCUCUACGUAUUAGGGUGCUGCCUUUCUCCUGGUACAGGUUGGUUCGAACAAAGAGGUCAAUGCAUCAGAUUGUCCUUUUGACCCUCCCUGUCUGUAGGCUGGAUCUGCUUGUUCCUUGUUCUCUCUGUGGGGCAGUGUUCAUACCAGGCUGUUCUAGCACAGGUUCUCUGAGCAGCCUCCCUCUUGCCAACUUCUGCGAGCAGGGCCUGCCUCUGGCUCACAGCCUCCUUCGCUUUAUGUAACUUCAGUUCAGGGCUCAGGCCUCAGACCAGGCCUCUGAUACCAAAGGUUUAUGUCUCAGGGCCUCAUCUUACUACACCGCUUACAUCAGACUAACAGAGCUGGCCCAGAGCGGAUGCGCCGCACCCGGACCAGGCUUGGCUCUGCCCGCCCUGCUGCAGACCUGUGAGGCACAGCGAGAGGAGGACAGACAGACAGACACACACAGCAUCCUCCCGUCUCCCUUCCCAGCGCAUUGCUCCGGGUGUGCAAAGGGGAAGAUCUACGGCGCCUCAUCCCGGCUCCGUCCCCCGGGCGCCCGGGCGCUCCGACAGCCCCGCGGCUGCAAAGCUCUCAGCCGAGCCCGGGGUUUACGCAGCUCUGCGGGGACAGAGGAGGAGCCGGAGGAGCGAUUAUUCUUCACGUCUGAACAACGAUUCAAUGGUUCCAAAGUAAUCACCGAAGCAGAUACCCAAUAACCAAAGACGGGGAAACCACGCGGUGAGAGCCGAGUUCCGAACAGCUGGAUGAAGACGUACAGUGUCUGGCUACUUACCUACACUGCUUCUCUGGCAGGUUCUGCAGCAGAAGACAAGGGAGACCGCUAGGGGCUCCCAGACUAUUUAUGUAGGGUUAAUACCCGGUCCCGACACGUCACAGAGCGCGAACUUUUCUACGAGUGCGUCG